GGAGGCGGGCAGGGCCGGCUGCCGCCGCCGACAGCCUCGGAGGGGCUGGGCGGAGGGAGGCCGGGCUCGGCUUGACAGGAGCGAGGGCGGGAGGCGAGGAGGGAGGCGAGGAAGGAGGCGCCGCCGGCUGCGCUCGCCGGGCGCGGGUAGUUGUGACAGGUGCACAAUGCAGAACAGUGAUCUCCAGGAAGCAAGCAAGACAGCAUCCAUACUGCUUGCAAUUAACCCAUCUCUUCCUGAACUAGAAAACUAUUAAUGGAAACUACACUGCAAAAAUUAAAGCAUUAAGACAGAUCGCUACUGGAAACUGUUGCUUCAAGGAAAGGUGUUGCCCAAGUGCACGUAUGAGAUCCAUCUGUUUGGGGACUCAGGUGAAAUAUCUUCAGAGGUUUGUCUUAAAGAGUAACUAAGAUGGAAGCUACACCUGGCUGCUGAGACCACUGCACUUCUGAUGUCCAGGUUUGUCCCAGCGUGAGAGGAUGAUGAAACUUAGGCCAACAGGAGCCUGGACAGUAGUGCUUUCUGGUAUUCUGAAAUGUAAUCCCACUAGAUCCAAUACAGUUCUUCCCUGUUUUGUUUUGUUUUGUUAUGUUUUGUUUUCACCCCAAAAGCACAACUUUUAGAAGAACAAAUUGGAGCUCUUGGCCUGGAUGACUUGUGGGAUCGUGACAGCGUUGGUUUAGAAUUCAAAUGGUGCUGGAGAGAAGGCAGUCUGUGUUCUGAAGAUUUGGGUACCUGGAUUUCACCUGGAUCCAAACUGAAGUGGAAGUUGAAAGGUCUGAAUCUCACCCUUAAUGAAUGAAACGCAUUGCGUUUCAUUACAUAGAUUCAGGAGUAGCCUCUAGACUCAAAACAGGAACAGCUAUUAAAGAGCUAAAUGUUAUUAUUGGAUCCAAAGCCUGGUGAUAGUUGUUAUCUUUGCUUUGUUUGUGCAGGUAAUGAUAAAACACUCACCAUGUGCUAGCCCUGGGUUUCAAGAUCACAUCCUUGUGCCAGGUUGUAGCAUACAGCCCGCUAAAACCUAAGGCAUUGACAUUCAGUCAGGAUGUGAAGGAAGCAAAGUGACCAUGACUCAAAAUGAAAUAUUCAUAGACGCAAAGAGAACUGCAUAGCAGACUUUUCUCCCCUGCCUUAUUUUCAGUCUGGUACUUAAUUCAAAGUGCUUUCUGAUACACUUCCUGGAUUUUUUGCUUACAAAGCAGAAAAGGGAUGUGAAGCUUGAUUUAGGUCUGUCCCUUUACAUUACAUCCUUACUAAAGGAUAAGAUACAUCUUGGCCCACUUGCUUCUUUUUAUUCAUUAAUAAAAUUUCAUGUAACACAGCGUCCAGAGUCCUGUGCAAGGGACUGUUUCCACCCCAGGGCAUCCCCAUCUAUCUGUGUUUCAUCUCAUCUAGCCACGAAUCAUAUGCAAAUUUAACAUGUUGGAAUUUUAAAAAGUCUAUAUAUUAUUAAUAAUCCAUAUCUAUAUUUGACUAACUGUCCACGAGAAGCAGAAUUUUCAUCAUCCUUUAGUUUUCAUGACAAGCAAAGGAGGAACACUGGAUUUCCCAUAUCUCUGGGAUCACUUCAGACAGUGGCCUCACACAACAGCAAGUAUAGAAUAAUCUCUGUAAUUGAAGGAUUUUUUCAUUAAAACUGUCCUCUCUAAAAAGUUCCAAAUAUUUUGACUUUAUUCAUCUAUAUCUUUAAUACUUUUAUAGUUCUAAUAGGGACCGCAAGUACUUUACAUUUUUAAUAGAAACUGCAACGGAUUGUCGUUAUUUCACAGAUAUGUGCUAAGAAAAUUUAAUUUAUGUAAAAAUACUGAACACUCACAAGGGGUCUUGAGUAGAAAAAUGUAUCUGAAAUUUGUAGCCUUCUUAUUUGUAGCUUGGUUGUAGUAUGUACACUUUGUGCACAGCAUGCAACAGAAAUACAGAGACAUCUGUCACACUUUGUUCAGGACUCAUACUGUACCCUACGAAGUAAAAUUCCUUUGUACCCUCUGGGUGUCUCUCCUGUAAUUGUAUCCAGAGCAUAGACCUAAUGUACCGGAUUGCAGUGCAUUAAUAACAAGCAUGGUUUUGUAAUUGAGUGUUACAGCCGUGCGGAUUCUGGGAAGUUCCACCCACAGCCUUUGAUCUUUGGAAAAUCCCCAGCCUCUGGAUUGUCACUCGGGCAAAGCUGCAUGUCCUGACUGCUCAGAGGCCACUUGCAAGGAGCCCUCUCUGCCAGUUUGGUUCCUCAGCUGUUCCUGUUUAUGCUGGUGCCUGCCAGAAAAAUUCCCGUUUCCAGGGUUUGCUCUGCUUUUCUGUUGGAGAAGGAUCAACUUUGGAGUCCUUGUGAAGAUAAGGCUGUAAUAGCUAUCAUGUAAUGAGAACAUCAGAGUGAAGGGAAAUUAUUACAAA